rnacentral:rRNA from 1 species
GAUGAACGCUGACAGCAUGCUUAACACAUCAGCAAUUGAUUGGUGGCGGACGGUUGAUUAACGCGUAAAGAACUUGCCUCACAGGUAGGGACAACAUUUGGAAACGAAUGCUACUACCUAAUACUGUGAGAGAGCUUUGCGUCCCAUUAGCUAGUUGGAGAGGUAACGGCUCACAAAGGCGAUGAUGGGUAGCCGGCCUGAGAGGGUGAUAGGCCACAAGGGGGCUGAGACACGGCCCUUACGCCGACGGGAGGCAGCAGUGUGGAAUAUGGGACAAUGGACCAAAGUCUGAUUCAGCAAUUCUGUGUGCACGAUGAAGUUUUCGGAAUGUAAAGUGCUUUCAGUUGGGAAGUGGUACCAACAGAAGAAGUGACGGCUAAAUACGUGCCAGCAGCCGCGGUAAUUC